CAGUGACAAGAGUAUUGCAUAGUGCUUUCUAUUGCUCUGUGUGAACUUAGGCGAUGGAAAAUAAUAGCAUCCUCCAGGUAUUCGUUGUUUUUCUCAUCGCGCAAGUUUGCUUACUGAUGAUGAUGGCAGCACCGGUAGCGUAGGCAGCCGGCAGGCUCAUGGGGUACAAUCCCGUUUGCUGCCCUAGGGACAUCUAUUGUUGUGGGUUCGGCGGAGUGAUUUCCAAUGGAACUGCAUCCUCCACCACUCCUUGAUAUGUUGUCUCACUCUCCUCCGAGCUAUAAGCUAGGGCCAAUAAAAUGUGCUUCAAAUUGGUCGUUUUGUUUCUUAUAUGCAAUUUGUGCGACUAGUUUCCAGAAAUAUUAUGUGUAAGCUAUUUUGCUAAUAAAAGUGGGAGGAGAUUGUUAUCUAUGUUGUUUGCAAUGUGCCGCAAAGAUAUUUGGAAUUAUCACUGGUAGAAAAAGGGCCUGUUGUCCCGGUUCGUAAGGGCCUUUUGUCCCGGUUCUGGAACCGGGACUAAAGGGUCGGUACUAAUGCCCUGUCCCUUUACUCCCGGUUCAAUCCAGAACCGGGACAGAUGGGCCUCCACGUGGCCUGUGCGCGGAGCCCAGGCAGGAGACCCUUUGGUCCCGGUUGGUGGCACCAACCGGGACCAAUAGGCAUCCACGCGUCAGCAUUUCUGUGGUUGGGGUUUUUGUUUUUUUUGAAAGGGGGGUGUUUGGGGGUUUUGGGGGGUUAAUUUAGGUGUUUCAUAUAUUGUGUUAGCUAGCUAUAAUUAAUAGAGAGAAGUGUCCUCUCUUAUGUCCGUGCUUGGUCGACGCUACGUACUAUACAUACGUAUAGAGAGGACUAGAUACGCUAGCUAGCUAGUAAGCAAACGAAGGAAACAGAAGAUCGUCAUGAACAUAUAUGCAUACAAAGAGAAGUGAUAUCGACCACCUCUCCUUCUCCGAGAGAUUGGUCGAACAACAAGUUCUCGUAUAUCUAUCCGACACUACCGGCUACAUAUAUACAAUAAUUAUCUCUUACAAAUAUAAUCAUACGGACUCAGGGUCCACAUAGAAUUCUCCGUCUUCAGGGAUCACGUGGUCAAGAAAGAAUGCCGCCAAUUCCUCUUGAAUUGCUCGCAUGCGAGCUGGUGCUAGGAGUUCAUCCCGCUUCCAAAACAUCUAAUUUAAAGAAGGGGGUCAAUACAUAUAUAUAUAUAUGAAUGAAUGAAACUCAACACAAAUGAUGGUAAUAAAAUAAAAUUGUGAAUGUUGUUAUUUACGUACUUCAUAUUGUUCGUCAGUGUAGCCCCGCUCACAGGUCGUGUGGCGGAUGGACUCGCAAACGUAGUAUCCACAGAAAUCAUUCCCUUGUUCCUGCCGCAACCACUUUACAAGAAAUAGAGGUCAAUCAAACUGAUAAGCAAGAAUGCCAAAUGGUAUUGAUGAAACUAGUGCUUGAAUGACUAGUAGAUGCGUGGAACAUGCUACUAUAGUACUUACUUUCGGGUGUCUAAAUUGCAGCUCCUUCGGCAGUCCCGGAGCUUUUCUGGUGAAUUUUCUCCAAACCCUGCCGGACAAAGAAAACAAUUACUUGAUAUAUCAGGAAAUGAACAAAGUUACUGAUAUGGUGGAUAAUGAUCGAUUUAACUUACUUCUCGAGUAUUUGAGUCAUGUAUGCAUAGUCCUGGGGAUCUUUUCGUUUUGAGUCUAAGACGGUUACUAGUCCCUGCUCAAGCUUAAUCUCUAGGAGAAUAUAGUGGAAACUGCACACGCAUGCAUAACUCAUCAAUUACAUUACUAUAACCUUGACUAAUAUAUAAGGGAAACCGAAUACGCACAAGACAGUAACACUCACUUGAAGUUGUAAGGAAAGAGUAUUAUAUCUUUGUUUUAAUUUAUUACGAACGAUCGUAGCAAGUUGGCCUCGGUAGCUGCGGCAUGAAAUUUAACCUGAGUUGCAUCUAUGAGAUAUGUGUUAAUGAACCCAAUAUCACCGACUUGUCUUUCCUUCAAUUCGGCGAUCUUCAAUCUGCAUAAUAUAGUGAGGAUGAUUAUAAAUACAUGCAAUGAAAGAGCUGAGCUAUAUAGAGAGACUUAAUGACAGAAGUGGUACUACUUACAGACAGUAGCAGGCGACCGUUGUUUUAUCGAGGGACAAUUGAUUGAAAAACUGAUAGAACUCCUCAAAUGGAACAGGCAACAGUUCAAUUCCAACGAGGUCAUGCUCCUUUUUAACUUUCACAUACAAAGUACUCCUGGCUAAUGAUGAAGCCAUGGAUUUCUUCAAUACUUUGACACUAGGAAAUCUCUCUCUCGACCCCUCGGCGAUCCUCGACCCCUCGAACCCUCGACGACCCUGGAACCCUCGACCCCUCGGCGAUCCUCUUCUUCCUCUCAUGUUCGAGAGGAUCGCCGAGGGGUCGGGAGGUUGCCUAGUGUCAAAGGAUUCAACAAAACCAUGUCUUCAUCAUUAGGCAAAAGUAACAGGUGCUUGAUGGUACGAAGCUCUCCAAAGUUAUUUUGGAAUGGAGUCCUAGAUAGGAUAAUUCGCUUUUUGGUACAAAGUUCAGCAAGAACCUUCCAAAUAUCGUUAUUUGGAAGGCCUUUGCUGAAAUUCAUACAAAAAGGCAAAUUAUCCUAUCCGGGACACCAUUCCAAAAUAACUUUGGAGGACUUCGUCAUGCCCUGGUUACUUUCGGCUAAUGAUGAAGCCAUGGAUUUCUUCAAUACUUUGACACUAGGAAACCUCUCUCGACCCCUCGGCGAUCCUCGACCCCUCGAACCCUCAACGACCCUGGAACCCUUGACCCCUAGACGACCCUGGAACCCUCGACCCUCGAUCCCUCGACCCUAUAGAACCCUCGAACCCUCGACCCUGAAACCCUCGACCCUUGACCCCUUAACGACCCUCGACCCUCUACCCUAGUUCCCGACCCACGACCCCUCGGCGAUCCUCGACACCCUCGUUCCCGAUAAAAAUUAAGAAGAAGAAGAAGAAGAAGAAGAAGAAGAAGAAGAAGAAGAAGAAAAAGAGGAGAAGAAGAAAGGAAUAGCUAGAGGAGAAGAUCGAAGAAAAAGAAGAAGAAAAAAAAGAGGAGAAGAAGAAAUGAAUAGUGGAGAAGAAGAAAAAAUAGAAUAUAUUCUAUUUUCUCUUCUUCUCCACUAUUCCUUUCUUCUUCUCCUCUUCUUUUUCUUCUUUUUUCUUCUUCUUAUUUAUUUAUCCUCUUCUUCCUCUCCUCUUCUUCUUUCGACCCCUCGUCCCUCUCUCGACCCCUCGACGACCCUCGUCCCUGAUAACAUUUUUUUCUCCCCUCGACCCCUCUCGACCUCUCGUCCCCCUCUCGACCCCUCAUCAUCAUCUAUCACCCCCCUCGUUUUCUUUAGCAUAUAUCCAUGAACAAAAAAAUAAUUCAUAUAUAGAAAAAUUGCUAUAUGAACAUACAUACAUAUGAGCAUAUACAGAGAGCAUAUACAUAGCCAAAUCCAUAUACAGAGAGCAUAUAGAUACAUACAUACAUAUGAGCAUAUACAUACAUACAUAGCCAAAUCCAAAUACAUAUGAGCAUAUACAUAUACACAUAUGAAAAAUUUUAUCACACACAGAGAGCAGCGGCGGCGGCGGCGAUGGUCAGAGCGACAGGGAUCGAUGGGAAGGGGGGAGCUCACUGGGGGCGUGACGGGGAGGAGGCCGGCGACGGCGCGGGGAGGCCGGCGACGCGGCGCGGGGCGACGGGGAGGGGGCCGGAGAUGGCGCACGCAGCNNNNNNNNNNNNNNNNNNNNNNNNNNNNNNNNNNNNNNNNNNNNNNNNNNNNNNNNNNNNNNNNNNNNNNNNNNNNNNNNNNNNNNNNNNNNNNNNNNNNNNNNNNNNNNNNNNNNNNNNNNNNNNNNNNNNNNNNNNNNNNNNNNNNNNNNNNNNNNNNNNNNNNNNNNNNNNNNNNNNNNNNNNNNNNNNNNNNNNNNNNNNNNNNUCACAAGUGCUACCUUAUAUACCCAGAGCAAUGGUCCCGGUUCGUGGCAUGAACCGGGACGAAUGCCUACCUAUGGUCCCUUUGGUCCCGGUUGGUGGCUCGAACCGGGACCAUAGGGGGGCAAUCGUCCCGGUUGGUGCCACGAACCGGUACCAAUGCCCCCCCUAUGGUCCCGGUUGGUGCCUCCAACCAGGACCAAUGGCCUUGUGCUGGCACUGGCACGGCCGAAAGUUUAAUCCCACCUCACUAGCUGAAGGGCGCCGGCACUUGUUUAUAAGUGCUGGUGUGCCUCCCCAUUCGAGCUCCUCUCUUAUGCAGGCUUUCGGGUCUAAACUUGUUACUGCCUGUGGGCCUAUUGGGCCUUCUGCGGGCCUGAAUCCUGGCCCAUGUAAGGUUUCUACUCGUAUUCAGGCCGUGGAGGCCCAGUAGGUGGCAUUUUUUUGGUUUUUCUUUUUUAUUUCUACAUUUUUUUUGGUUUUUUAUUUUUUUUAUUUCUACUUAAAACUAAAUACUUACAGUUUUUUAGUGAUUUCUUUUUGCUUUUAGGUCACAAAAAUUAUAAACUUUCUGUUAGUGUCAUUAGUUUUAAAUUUUGAAUAGUUUAAAUUUGAAUUUUUAAAAAUUUGUGUGCAUCACUAGUUUAUGAAUAACUUUACUAUAAAAAUAGAAUUUUUUUUCUAUUUAUUUUUUAUUUAUACUUACAACUAAAUACUUAUAGUUAUUUAGUGAUUUCUUUUUGAUUUUAGGUCACAAAAAUUAUAAACUUUCUGUUAGUGCCAUUAGUUUUAAAAUUUUGAAUAGUUUAAAUUUGUAUUUUUUAAAAUUUGUGUGAAUCACUAGUUUAUGAAUAACUUUACUAUAAAAAUAGAUUUUUUUUUCUUUUUUUCUAUUUAUUUUUUAUUUAUACUUACAAUUAAAUACUUAUAGUUUGAUUUUAGGUCACAAAAAUCAUAUUCUUUUUGCUAUUGAAGAAUAUUAUAGUUUUAUUUUAGUUGAUCAUAACAUAAUAUUUUAAUUGAUUGUUUUUAUUUUCAUAAAAGUUUUGUAGUUCAUUCUGUUUGCUAUCAAUUCAUUCUUUGAGCUAAAUGACCCUGAAAUUGGAAAGCAUUUAAAAUGAACUCUGAAAAGGUUGAAAGUUGGCAUGGUAUCAUCAUUUCACCCACAUAGCAUGUUCCAAAAAGUAGAGAGGGUUACGACAAAAACUUGAUGCACUUCGUGUACAAAAUGGACAAUCACUUUCGAAGUAUCAAAGUUUCGGACAAUAACUGCGCCACAUCAUUGGCUAGGACGAAUGGUUCGUCUGUGUACCCAAGAUUGUUUAGAUCCACUGUUGUCAUACCGUACUGUGGGUCUACCUGUACCCCGCCUCCUGACAUAUUGAUCCAUUUGCCUCAACACAUAAAACCUUGAACCAUAAGACAUGAAAGCAUUUCAAAUGAACUCUGAAAAAGUUGAAAGUUGGGAUGGUAUCAUAAUUUCACCCACAUAGCAUGUGCAUGUACAAAACGGACAAUGGUAGCAUGUUCGUGUGUUACAAAGUUGGCAUGGUAUCAUCAUAAUAGUUGCGGGAGAAAGUCUUCACUUUUUCUUCGCUUGUGUCAUUUGAUUAUUGCGCCGUAACCAUGGAUAAUCUUCAUUGUUUAUCAGGAUGCUUGGGUCAGCCUUGACAUUGAAGGGAGGAAUUUCAUGAAACUUUUCAUAAUCUUCAGACAUGUCUGUCAUGCCCUCCACUCCCAGGAUGUCCCUUUUUCCUGAAAGAACUAUGUGGCGCUUUGGCUCAUCGUAUGAUGUAUUCGCUUCCUUAUCUUUUCUUUUUCUCGGUUUGGUAGACAUGUCCUUCACAUAGAUAACCUGUGCCACAUCAUUGGCUAGGAGGAACGGUUCGUCAGUGUACCCAAGAUUUUUCAGAUCCACUGUUGUCAUUCCGUACUGUGGGUCUACCUAUACCCCGCCGCCUAACAGAUUGACCCAUUUGCACUUAAACAAAGGGACCUUAAAAUCAGGUCCGUAGUCAAGUUCCCAUAUGUCCACUAUGUAACCAUAAUAUGUGUGCUUUCCGCUCUCGGUUGCUGCAUCAAAGCGGACACCGCUGUUUUGGUUGGUGCUCUUUUGAUCUUGGGCGAUUGUGUAAAAUAUAUUCCCAUUUAUCUCGUAUCCUUUGUAAGUCAAUACAGUCAAAGAUGGUCCCCUGGACAACAAGUACAACUCAUCACAAACAGUGUUGUCACCUCUGAGACGUGUUUCCAACCAACUGCUGAAAGUCCUGAUGUGUUCACAUAUAAUCCAGUCGUCGCACUGCUCCGGGUGUUUGGAGCGCAGACUGUUCUUGUGUUCAUCGACAUACGGGGUCACCAAGGUAGAGUUCUGUAGAACUGUGUAGUGUGCUUGAGACCAAGAAUAUCCGUCCCUGCAUAUUAUUGAGUUUCUUCCAAGAGUGCCUUUUCCAGUCAGUCUCCCCUCAUACCGCGAUUUAGGGAUACCUAUCUUCUUAAGGCCAGGAAUGAAGUCAACACAAAACCCGAUAACAUCCUCUGUUUGAUGGCCCAUGGAGAUGCUUCCUUCUGGCCUAGCGCGGUUACGGACAUAUUUCUUUAGGACUCCCAUGGACCUCUCAAAGGGGAACAUAUUGUGUAGAAAUACGGGCCCCAGGAUGACAAUCUCGUCGACUAGAUGAACUAGGACGUGCGUCAUGAUAUUGAAGAAGGAUGGUGGGAACACCAGCUCGAAACUGACAAGACAUUGCGCCACAUCACUCCUUAGCCUUGGUACGAUUUCUGGAUCGAUCACCUUCUGAGAGAUUGCAUUGAGGAAUGCACAUAGCUUCACAAUGGCUAAUCGGGAAGCCCCCUCAAUGCAACCGGAAGCAGUUGCGUCAUAAUCACGUGGCAGUCAUGAGACUUAAGGUUCUGAAACUUUUUCUCUGGCAUAUUUAUUAUUCCCUUUAUAUUCGAUGAGAAGCCAGUCGUGACCUUCAUACUGAGCAGGCAUUCAAAGAAGAUUUCUUUCUCUUCUUUUGUAAGAGCGUAGCUGGAAGGACCUUUAUACUGCUUCGGAUGCAUGCCAUCUUUUUCGUGCAAACGUUACAGGUCCUCCCAUGCCUCAGGUGUAUCUUUUGUCUUCCCAUACACGCCCAAGAAUCCUAGCAAGUUCACGCAAAGGUUCUUCGUCACGUGCAUCACGUCGAUUGAGGAGCGGACCUCUAGGUCUUUCCAGUAGGGUAAGUCCCAAAAUAUAGAUUUCUUCUUCCACAUGGGUGCGUGUCCCUCAGCGUCAUUCGGAACAGCUAGUCCACCGGGACCUUUCCAAAGAUUACGUAGUGUAAAUCAUUGACCAUAGCAAGCACGUGAUCACCGGUGUGCAUGGCGGGCUUCUUCCGGUGAUCUGCCUCGCCUUUGAAAUGCUAUCCUUUCUUUCGACAUUGAUGGUUGGUCGGAAGAAAUCGACGAUGGCCCAGGUACACAUUCUUCCUGCAUUUGUCCAGGUAUAUACUUUCAGUGUCAUCUAAACAGUGCGUGCAUGCGUGGUAUCCUUUGUUUGUCUGUCCUGAAAGGUUACUGAGAGCGGGCCAAUCAUUGAUGGUCACGAACAGCAACACCUUAAGGUUAAAUUCCUCCUGUCUGUGCUCAUCCCACGUACGUACACCGUUCCCAUUCCACAGCUGUAAAAGUUCUUCAACUAAUGGCCUUAGGUACACAUCAAUUUCGUUGCCGGGUUGCUUAGGGCCUUGGAUGAGAACUGGCAUCAUAAUGAACUUCCGCUUCAUGCACAUCCAAGGAGGAAGGUUAUACAUACAUAGAGUCACGGGCCAGGUGCUGUGAUUGCUGCUCUGCUCCCCGAAAAGAUUAAUGCCAUCCACGCUUAAAGCAAACCAUACAUUCCUUGGGUCCUUUGCAAACUCAUCCCAGUACUUUCUCUCGAUUUUUCUCCACUGCGACCCGUCAGCGGGUGCUCUCAACUUCCCAUCUUUCUUUCGGUUCUCACUGUGCCAUCGCAUAAACUUGGCAUGCUCUUCAUUUCUGAACAGACGUUUCAACCAUGGUAUUAUAGGAGCAUACCACAUCACCUUCGCAGGAACCCUCUUCCUGGGGGGCUCGCCGUCAACAUCACCAGGGUCAUCUCGUCUGAUCUUAUACCGCAAUGCACCGCAUACCGGGCAUGCGUUCAGAUCCUUGUAUGCACCACGGUAGAGGAUGCAGUCAUUAGGGCAUGCAUGUAUCUUCUCCACCUCCAAUCCUAGAGGGCAUACGACCUUCUUUGCUGCGUAUGUAUUGUCAGGCAAUUCGUUAUCCUUUGGAAGCUUCUUCUUCAAUAUUUUCAGUAGCUUCUCAAAUCCUUUGUCAGCCACAGCAUUCUCUGCCUUCCACUGCAGCAAUUCCAAUACGGUACCGAGCUUUGUGUUGCCAUCUUCGCAAUUGGGGUAUAACCCUUUUUUGUGAUCCUCUAAUAUGCAAUCGAACUUCAGCUUCUCCUUUUGACUUUCGCAUUGCGUCCUUGCAUCGACAAUGACCCGACGGAGAUCAUCAUCAUCGGGCACAUUGUCUGGUUCCUCUUUAUCUUCAGCAGCUUCACCCGUUACAGCAUCAUUGGGCACAUCGUCUGGUUCCUCUUGAUCUUCACCAGCUCCACCCGUUGCAGCAUCACCGUAUUCAGGGGGCACAUAAUUGUCAUCGUACUCUUCUUCUUCGCCGUCUUCCAUCAUAACCCCUAUUUCUCCAUGCUUCGUCCAAACAUUAUAGUGUGGCAUGAAACCCUUGUAAAGCAGGUGGGAGUGAAGGAUUUUCUGGUUAGAGUAAGACCUCGUAUUCCCACAUUCAGUGCAUGGACAACACAUAAAACCAUUCUGCUUGUUUGCCUCAGCCGCAUCGAGAAACUCAUGCACGCCCUUAAUGUACUCGCGGGUGUGUCUGUCACCGUACAUCCAUUGCCAGUUCAUCUGCGUGCAUUAUAUAUAAUUAAGUGUCCAAAUUAAUAGAAGUUCAUCAUCACAUUAAAACCAAAGUGCAUACAUAGUUCUCAUCUAACAACAUAUAGCUCUUGAGAGCAUCUAAUUAAUUAAACCAUACAUUGAAACUAUGUAAAACAUUUCAAUGCGAAAACAAAUGCGAUCAUAAUCACAACCAAGGUAACAAUUGAUCCAACGGCAUAAUGAUACCAAGCCUCGAUAUGAAUGGCAUAUUUUCUAAUCUUUGUAAUCUUCAAGCGCAUUGCAUCCAUCUUGAUCUUGUGAUCAUCGACGACAUCCGCAACAUGCAACUCCAAUAUCAUCUUCUCCUCCUCAAUUUUUUUUAUUUUUUCCUUCAACAAAUUGUUUUCUUCUUCAACUAAAUUUAACCUCUCGACAAUAGGGUCGGUUGGCAUUUCCGAUUCACAUACAUCCUACAUAAAUAAAAUCUAUGUCACGUUGGUCGGCAUAAUUUUCAUAAACAAUAAAUGAACCAAUAGUUAUAAAGAUAAUAUCUAUACCACAUCCGAAUCAUAGACAGGACGAGGGCCGACGGAGGCGGAUACCAAAACCAUCGCACUAUAUAAGAUGCAAUAAUAAAAGUAAGAAAAUAAUACAAGUAUCUAUGUAAACAUACAAGUAAGAAUAUUUUUCCUUUCAGAAAGAAGAUAAGAACAAGAGGCUCACCACGGUGGUGCCGGCUAUGAGCUCGGCGCGGGUGAUCGACGGCGGUGAAGACGGGGACGGGGCGUGACGGACCGCUAAACCUAGACAAAUAUUAUGGAAAAUGGAGUUUGGAGGUCGAGCUUGGAGAGGAGAAAGCUUAAGUAGUGUGGCUCGGGCAUUCCAUCGAACACCUUGUGUGCAUAGGAGGUGAGCUAGAGCACCACCAAGCCCUCUCCCCCUUGGCUAGAGAAAAACAGAGCACUGGGGUGCUCUGCUCGCGAGCGAGGGAUAUAUAUAUAGGCACCUCAUUGGUCCCGGUUGGUGACAUGAGCCGGGACUAAAGGGGAGCCUUUGGUCCCGGCUCAAGCCACCAACCGGGACCAAUGGUGGUGGGCCAGGAGCGAGGCCCAUUGGUCCCGGUUUAUCCCACCAACCGGGACCAAAAGGUCCAGAUGAACCGGGACCAAUGGCCCACGUGGCCCGGCCGGCCCCCUGGGCUCAUGAACCGGGACCAAUGCGUUCUGGACUGAACCGAGACUAAUGGGCUGACCCGGCCUGGACCAAAGCCCUGUUUUCUACUAGUGUAUGUUUACUUUAGUGUUUUUUGAGGAUCAUAUCAUACUGUAUUUUCAUGGUUAAACUCAUGUUAUGAUAAUAAAGGUACCAUCCGUAGUUGAUUCCAGUUUAUUACUAACAAUAGCGGUUAAUCCAUCACAUAGAGUGUCAAUUUGUUGCGGACAUCAAUCAACUUAACCCUGUAUUUGUCGCCCUCGCCAAAUCUUACUCAAUCAAGCUUCUAAAACUAGAUGAGAACUAAUAUGUUUCCUUUUUCUAGCCCAUUCUGCUUCAUCUCUUUUUCAUCGUUCUUCUUAUUCCCAAUGCCUAAAACCCCAACCAUGCAUGUGUACCGACCCAACUUAGAUGAGGCACAGUGGUCAAGGCAUCAUGCGUGCCUGCUCAUGUACUUGAACACUCCGUCCGGCUGAUUGUUUCGCGGCACUGAGGAGCACCUUCUUGCGCAUGUGCCACCAUUCGAAGGAUCUCGGUGCGACACAGGGGCGAAUUUACCGUACGGGCGCCCUGGGCACGUGCCCGGGCCCAUCCCGUCAAUUUUCUAAACUAUAGCGAACCUUUCUAGGCAUCGUAUGCGUAAAAAAUGCUCAAAAACAAGAAAAUACGAUGGAAAGUACGUAAACUUCUCUAACUGGGCCAGUCUGAGCGUUUUUCUGCAGUUUGGCUAAGCAAUCACAUGGACCACAACAACCAGUAGGCCUUGUUUGCUCGAUCGAUCCAUGAAUGGAUUGAAGCAGAAUCGAUCGAUGCAUGUUCGUUUUCGUGCACAGGAACGCGAGAUCGGAGUCGCGACCUUACCAUCUGCUGCGCGGCUGCGCCUCCGACGCGGCGAGGGCGCGAUGCAGACCGUCGCCUGACGGAACCCGGCAGCCAGAUUAACAUCGGCCGGCAAGAUUGCAAAAGAGAUCAGAGAUAACACGCGGCCAGGCCUCGGCUAUGACUCCGGUGGGCGACGGUCAAGAUCGGAAGCACAAGCGCGGGCGCCACAGCGGCGAAUCCUCCUGUACCACCAAUGAGAAUUCAACUCUGGCUCAAUCGGACGUUGGGUAGUCAGCAUCGACACUAACCACAUGAGCAGCGGCAGGCCGGCAGCGAGCGCUCAACCCGUUGAAGGGCAUGACCAAAAGAAAUCCAGUAGCAGAGCGCCAACAAUUAGGACUAAAGGCAAGUGGCAACUAGGUGAGUUAUUUGAUUUGGUAUUGUAUUUAAGUUUUUAUUUACUUCUUUGAUCUAUAAAACAUCAGUGCAUAUAUUACACACGACAUUUAUUCAAAUAUAUGAUACUUAUCAUGUUUGAUAGACCAAAGUAAAUUUUAGCUUACAAGAUGCCCGGGCUUUGGCAAUUCGCUGGCUCCGCCACUGGUGCGACAGUUCCAUCAGGAUGUCCUCCUGACAUGUCACACCUUAGGGUGUUGAGAAUAAGUAGAUAGAGUAUGCACAUCAGACGUUUGAGAAAAAUGCUCGGCAUUUGGGGCGCGUUUGUCGUCUGUCAAACCGUGGACAAGGGUGUGUCCUGGUGGUGUGCUCAUCGAGGUUCCUGGACAUGGCCGAGCUCUGGUUUUUUCGACUUUUUGUUUUUCACCUGCCUUUCUUAGCUUUUGGAUUAAAAAAAAAUUUGCAAACAUUUUUUGGGUGAAAUAAUACGCUUUUUUAACUUCCGCGAGAGACACGGUUUUGCUUUUGCGAGAGGCACAGCCAUGCUUCUUGGAAAAUGGAAAAAAACUUGUUUUCUGUUUUAUUUUCUUCCGCGAGAGGCACGGUUUUGUUUCUGCCAGAGGUAUGGUUUUGUUUUAGCGAGAGGCACGACUAUGUCUCUCAAAAAAACAAUUUCUUUGGUUUUUUUUCUUCUACGAGAGACACGGUUUUGAUUCCGCGAGAGGCAUGAUUGUGCUUUCGCGAGAGACAAAGCCAUGCCUCUCAGAAACGAAAAAAAACAUUUUUCUGUUUUUUUUUCUACCGCGAGAGGCAUGGUUGUGCUUUCACGGCCGUGCCUCUCGGAAACGUAUAAAAAUACGUUUUUUGUUUUAUUUUGCUUCCACGAGAGGCACGAUUUGGCUUCCACGAGCCGUGCCUCUCAGAAACAAAAAAACGUGUUUUCUGUGUUUUUCUUCUUCUGUGAGAGGCGCGGUUUUACUUUCAUGAGGGGCACGGUUGUGAUUUUCUCGAGAGGUACAAUCGUGCCUCUUUCAGAAAGGAAAAAAACCAUGCUCCCAAUUCGGUUUUUUCGUUCAGUUUUUUUCAUGAAAAAAAGUUAGUCAAAACCUAUCAAUAUAGGAUCUAGUUUUAUAGAUCUCGGCACGAGAAUCCAACAGUGAAAACAGUUCGAUAUUUGGACACACGGUUUAAGAGAUAAAACAUUUUGAAUAAACGAAUCUACGAAAAAAGAGAAAAUUCUUAGGUUGCGACAAUGGUUCAUAUGUGCACUGCUUCAUUUGUCACAACCUGAGAAGGUGGGAGUGAUCUUUACAAUAAGUACUUUUUAAUUAAUGAUUUUGGAGGUUCCCAGGCCCACGCACCUGCACACAUGCGCCGGCUCAUCGCGUGCGACACGAUCGCUCAACAGCGGGCAGCUCGGGAAAAUCCUAUAUACCGCUCGCUGCUGCAAACUGUCGACCAAAAGCACAGUUGAGCGAGGUGAGCGGUCUGAGAUGGGCCAGCCUAUUUUAGCAUGGCGUAGCACCUGUUUCACCCGGUUUUAGGAACCUUCUAGAAGGCCCUGAACCAGUUUUAUUUCUAGUUUAUUCUGGUUUUUCCCAUUCUCGUUUCUUAUUUUUGGUUUUAUUCCCGUCUUUGUUUCUUUUUUUCUGUUUAAGUUUUCUUUUUUAUUUCAUUUACUGUUUAUUUUUAAGUUUCAUUUUUUUCAUUUUAUUGUUCUUACAAAAAAUAUUUCAAAUAUAAAAAACAUUGUAAUAAUUAGAUUUUGUUCAUGAAUUAUAAAAAAAUGUUUGCAUUUUUAGAAUAUUUUUGAGGAAUUUCAAAAUUAGUUUUUGUUUUUCGAAAAUUGUUCAUAAUUUUUUCCUUAAAAAUUCACCACUUUUUUCAGGAUUUCGAAAAAUGUUUCGUAGUAAAAAUUGUUCGCAAAUGAAGAAAUUUCACGUAUUCAAUUUUUUAGGAGCUUGAAAAAUGUUCUCCUUUCCCAAAAAUUAUUUGGAAAUUUAAAAAAAUGCUCUGAAUUUGAAAUAACCUUCGUAUUUUUCAAAUUUUGUUCAUACAUUCAAAAUUAUUCGCAUUUUCCAAAUAGUCUUCAGGAAUAUCAAAAAUUGUACGUAUGUUCAAAAAUUGUUCAUAAAUAUUUUCUUUAAAAUGUUCAAAAUCGUUUUUCCGAAUAUUGUUCACAAAUUUGAAAAAAAUCUUCGGAUCUUAAAUUUUGAUUGGUAGUUUGAAUUUUGUCUACUUUUCGGCAAUUGUUCAGAAAUUUCAAAACAUAUUGGUGUUUUCAAAAUUAUUUAGGAGAUUGAAAUUUGGUUUGCCUAUUUUAAAAAAAAUGUAUUGGAUUUUUUGGAAUUCCAGAAAAUGUUCUGUUUUGAAAAAAAUCGCGUCGGAAUUUUGGGAGUUUCAUUUUUUUAGUUUGGUAGAAAAAUUGAAAAGUGAUCCUGUUCCAUAAAACAUCAAUUUUUUUCCAGAAAAUAUUUUGCAUUGGAAAUUUCAAAAAUAAUCUUGGCGGUGCUAGAAUGUGUUCUUAAAGUUUUAGUGCUGCUUUGUAGCAUUAAUGUGAGGAUCCACCUAUGCAUGCGGGUGACAAUAAGGGAAGCUAAAGGCGCCAUAUAGGAACUGUCGAGUGCUCCUGCCGUCUCGCAUGAACCACCACUAUGUAUCGUUAUAAGCGACUGCGUGAGCUCGCUCGCCUACAGCGACCCCUUCGUGGGCCUGCCCAAUGAGGAGGGCACUACCCUCCCAGUCCCGAGCCACGGACGGGGCAUGUGACAUGGACAUCUCGCAGUUUUUUGAAUCCUAGAAAGAAGGUGAAAAAAGAAAAAGUACCGAGCCCACAAUGGCGGUUGUGUGUGCGCAAGUAGCAAAAAGCACUAUGAUGGAAGUUGAAGGAGCCAUAUAGGAAUUGUCGAGUGCUCCUGCCGCCUCGCGUGAACCAUUACUAUGUAUCAUUACAAGCGACAGCGUAAGCUCGCUCGCCUACAACGACGCCUUCGUGGACAUCUCACACUUUUUUUGAACCUUAGAAAGAAGGGAAAAAAAGGGAAAUAGCAAAAAGCACUAUGACGGUUGCUGAAGGCGCCAUAUAGAAAUUGAUGAGUGCUCCUGCCGUCUCGCGUGAACCACUACUAUGUACAUGGGCCUGCCCAGUUAGGAGGGUGACACCCUCCUAGUCCCGACGAGCCACGUGCGGGGCGUGUGACUGAGGAUGACAAUUUUACCCAUGGGUAUGGGUACCCGUAGGUACCGUACCCGCAUGGGCAGAGUAUGGGCACAACUUUAUACCUACGAGUAGUACCCAUACCCUACCCGUUAAGUCAUGGGUAGGGCACGGGUAUAACCUUUUACCCAUGGAUAUACCCAUACCCUACCCAUUUUAUACCGACAUGUGAAUCUUACCCGUGAUUCACAAUCACAAGUGUACAUAUGUUAAAGUUGUGUUGUGAGCUUAUGAACCUAUGUUAAAGUUGUUACCAAUUGUCAAUUUGAAUUGAGAUAAUUUUCAUAUACUCAGCUAUUUGUUAUUGAGUUGAGAUCAAUGUUUUUUUUUAUCAAAUGUGCUAUAGAUGAAUGUAAAAUUACGAAUAACUUGUGUACUGUUUGAUCUACCCGUUGGGUACCCAAUGGGUAUGGGUACCUGUCGGGUAUGGGUACGGGUAAAAUAUCAUACCCAUGGGUACGGGUAUGGAUAGAAUUUUGUACCCAUUGACUACACACGUAUGGGUAUGGUAUUGCUCUACCCGCCCUAUACCCUACCUACUGUCAUCCUUACGUGUGACAUGGACGUUUUUUUACAUAUUAAUUUUCAUGCUUUUUUUAUUUUCAUGAUCAGUCUAAAAGAUAAAAUAAAAUGUGUUUAUACUUCUAGUUAUUAAUGAAGUUUGUGAAAAUAAAAAAAACUGUUUCUGGGUAUAAAAAUUAUUCCCCUUAUUUAAAUUUGUUCAUAAAUCUACAAAAAUGUUUUGGAUUCUUAAAAAUGUUCUUGAGUUUGAAAUGUCCACGAAGUAGCAAAUUUAUUCACGAAUAUGACAAAUUGUUCACUAAUUCACAAUUUUUGCAUGAAUAUAAUUUUUUUGUGAUUCAAAGAAAAUGUUCACAAAUUCAAAGAGUGUUGACAAAUUUAAAGACUGUCCAGUGAUUCACCAAAUGUCCGUGAAUUCAUUAAAAUCUUCAUGAUUUUUCAAAAUAUUCAUAGAGUUUCAAAAGAUAAUCGAAUGCGAAUUUUUUUAUUUGUUUUCAAAUCACGAAUUAGUAAGAAAUAAAAAGGACACAAAAUAACAAUAGAAAGAAAAGCGAAAAAAUCUCAUGAGAAAAACAUAAUAAGGGAAAAGAGAAGAACCUUCUGGAACCUUCCCAAAAGCGAAGGGAAGGUUCCCAAAUCCGUUCCUGGUUCUGGAAAUGAAUAGCUCAUGUCGGACCGUGAGUUGGCGAGUUCUCACUUAGUGCGCGCCAAGGCGAUAGACAUCAUUUUUGACCGUCGGUUGCGCUUAACAUGAUCAGCCUAUAUGGGCCUCCUAUCAACAGGCCCUUGAGGCCUAUUUUAAACACUCGAUCUCAUUGGCGGUCAUGAGACAUGGGCCGAUGGGCCCAAGGUGGUGCAUAGCAACUCUUUAGUGCUCCAUGUAGUGUGGGGCCUUGCCUUCUGGGCGGCAAGGUGUGCAUCUGUAGCGAUUCAUUGAUGGUCUAUGCCAGAUUGAGUCCACAACUUGAUGGUGAAGGCAUGUGGCGGCAAGUGAGUUGGCUCGUGACUGUCGUCGGAAUUUGCUACUUGUCACGACGAUUUUUGAAUCUUGUGCGCCACGAUCGGUUAAGCAUUAAUUUGUCAAGCUUAACCUCCGAGCACACGGAUAGCAUGGAGGGCUGCUGUCUGCUGAAUUCAUCCGCUUGCAUUUUUUCCUUUUUUCAAAAGGGUGAUGCUACGCGUCCGCCGGCCGAUGUCUCAUAGUUAUCCGCCGCAUCGAUGGCCGUCGGAUCCUCGUGCUAUUAGCAGUCCAAUGUAAUACCCGCGCCCCGCAUGCCCCUCAUUAAUUCCCGCAACAAGCGGCUGUUGCAGAAACAAAGAACAUUGCCCCCCGGCCCAGAGCUGCGCCCACCGCGGCACCGCCCCAUCCCAAAAUCACCUAUGGCCGGCACGGGGAGCAGCCAAAUAUCCUCUCUACAACACCAUGGCUCACCACAUCGUGCGGCAGAUGCUUGGGUCCAAUGCAGAUCGAGCUCACCGAGGGGCCCUGCUACAAGAACAGCCAUGGCCAUCGUUCGAAGCUCCGACUGUCGCCGGGGAGCUUUUGCCGCGAGUAGGAGUUUCAGCCUGGUUCAGGAACCCACUGGUGUUGUUUCCUGAAGCUCCUUUGACAAGAUCGCAUAAGGAAUCAUGGGUGAAACUCUGUUUCUGAAACACAAAUUCUAUUUAACUAUGAAGCAUGAAACUCUGAAAACACAACAUAUCAAACCCUGUGUGUGGAUACAACAAGGCACAUCCCCCUGUUUUACUUGUUCUGUCUCUGGAACAUGAGCCCCUGUAUUUGUAGUUGCAAUCUCUAAUGUUGCAAAAAAAAGAAAAAUGGCUCUGAUGUUCAGAAAAAAAUCACUCAUGUGAGAUUGCCUUUGAUGUGGUUUGAUUUUGUAUGCUGUUGUGAGAAAAUCAGAGUGUUUCUGAAUUCCUCAAAAGAUGUAGGCCAGAAACAAAUGUUGCAUGUUAAUUGACCUCUGUAAAAAAAUGGUAAAUUUUUCAUUUGAUAUCUUCUGUAAUUGAUUUUCUGAAACAAGUCAAAAAUUGUUGAUUCCAUGGAGAUAGAAAAUGACUACUGAAAAAAAACUGUCUGAUGCUAGAAGCUGGGACUGAAGGGGAAGAGAGCUAUGUCCAAGGCAAUUUUUGCUAUAUGUUUGAUGCAGGAAGCUGGGACUGAAGGGGAAAUGAACUGCUCCGGCGAGCUGUUCAUUUUCCUUGCAUCUCCUAAAGAAAAGAUGUACUUGCUCCCUAUGUUUGAGCUACAUUUAUAACUUCUUUUUGCAAGCUUGAUAAUGUAUAGAGUUGAAAUUUGCAACCUGUGUUACGAAAAAAAUACAGAAAAUAAAGAUAGCCUAGUUUGUUAUGUUUUCUUCAUGUAUUUGCCUGUGUUUGAGAUAUGCGACAUCAAUGUUUCUCUGCAUAAGUGCAAAAAACAAUGUGUCUAGUGUUACCAAAAAACAACAUUUGGCUUGAAUAAAAAAGAGUUUUGUGUGGUGAGAUUGCUCGAGCUUGCAUGCGUGAAAAUAUAGAUCAUGUAUUCAUGUUACAGGACACAUGAUCUUACAAGAAGACACUUUCGUUUUGAUGAUGUUAUAGGAACAUCUAUCCAUGUAUUCAAGUUGCAGGAACAUGAUGUUAUAAUGAGACAAUGUGUUCAACUGAUGAUUUCGUUAUGGUUAAUGUAGAGCAACAGAUCAUGUUACAUAGAAAACAUUGAUUAUAGUAUAUUUCACCAUUCAAAAAUUCCUCAUGCAACAAGAGCUCCAAUACAAACAAUAUGAUACACCAGUGGGUGAGAAACAUACAAAAGGAAAAUACUCCAGCAAGAUAAUUUUCAUUGGAUUGUCAUAUCUACAUCAUAUAUAGGUGUGCAACACCAGAAACAUUUGCGAGAAUGGUUGCAUGGAUGAAGCUCCAACAUACAAAAUAGAGCAAAAAAGGGGGGGCAUGCCCCAGCAUGACACAUGCUUCUUCCAAGCUUCAGUUCCAUAGAAGACUAGAGGUAAUAGCUACAGUAUACUUGUUGUCUCGGUUACAAAACAUGUCACACGUACAUGCACCGGAAAAAGGCCCUUUCACCAUCCUUGUAAAUGUCACGGAAAAUAUGCCUUGCCCCUCUUCCCGAAUUGUAACGGCAUGCUACCAUUCAGUAUCUUCUUAACCAUGUCCCUUGUUAAUCAGAUCUUCUUCUCAUCAUUUAUCCCGCGAUACAAAAAACCAUAGAAAUCAAUGGAUGUUGCGAAAGAAAGAAAAAAGGGAGUUAUGCAAUACAAAUAGAGGAAACAAAAAAAAAA
rnacentral:lncRNA from 1 species